UAAUCAACAGUUCCAGUAACCGUUGAUGCUAUAAAUCUUCGCAUAUUUGUCAUCACUAUCCAGUAAACUGUGAUAAAAACGAGAAUGCCAGAAAAAAAGGAAUCCAUAUUAGAUAUGAAUGAAACUGUAAGUAAAGAUAAUGCUAGUAGUUCAAGUAGUGAUUAUCAAGGAAGUGUGGAAGAAAAGAAGGAUAAUGGAACAGAUCAACAUUCCAAUAAAAAAGAUCAGAAAAAUACAAGAAUAAUUAAAAGGAUAAUUAAAGGAUCUAAAAAAGGUAAUUAUUCUGAUCAAAUUGAAAAUAUCAGUUUUUUUCCCCUCCAUGCAAUUUUUUCUAUGCUG
rnacentral:lncRNA from 1 species